UGUUCCUGUGCUUGAGAGAGGGGCAUCUGGUUAGUGGCACCCAUCUCGCAGUUGCCUGGAACAAAGCAAUUCCUUGUUUAUCCCAGCAUGGCUUCUGGUCUGUGCCUGCUUCAUACUUUGGACACAGAA